GACAUAAUGCAACUAGCACAAUCUAAUAAUCACCACCACCACCACCACUAAACCCAGCUUUCUUGUACAAAUGGUCUUUAUUACCGAUGGGGUGACGCAUGGAGCAGAAUUUAGCCACUGAUGGAUGUGGCGGAUUGCGCGUAAGAUGUACAGGUGGCAAAUCCCCUGUACGCGUAUCUGAGACGCAGGACCUUUUGAGGGCUUCGGCCCAAAGAAGAGUAAUUCCGGUCUGCGCCAGGAAAAACCUCUAAGGGAGUUUUAUUUGUGCCCGUACCGUAAACCGACACAGGUAGACGAGGCGAAUAGCCUAAGGUGCUCGAGACAACUCGGGAGAAGGAACUCGGCAAAUUAACCCCGUAACUUCGGGAUAAGGGGAGCCUCCAUUUGUUAGUGUGAACAGCACAAAGCAUAAGGAGGCCGCAGAGAAAUGGCAGAAGCGACUGUUUACCAAAAACACAGGGCUAUGCAAACCCGUAAGGGAAAGUAUAUAGUCUGACACGUGCCCGGUGCUGGAAGGUUAACAGGAGAUGUCAGCGCAAGCGAAGCAUUGAAUCGAAGCCCCAGUAAACGGCGGCCGUAACUAUAACGGUCCUAAGGUAGCGAAAUUCCUUGUCGGGUAAGUUCCGACCUGCACGAAUCGUGUAACGACUUCUGCACUGUCUCCUCCCGGGACUCGGCGAAAUUGCAGCGUCGGUGAAGAUGCCGACAACCCGCACCUGGACGGAAAGACCCCAUGAACCUUCACUGUAUUUUGACAUUGGUUUUAGGCUUGACAUGUGUAGGAUAGGUGGGAGGCUUUGAAGCGGUGACGCCAGUCAUCGUGGAGCCAUCCUUGAAAUACCACCCUUGUCCGGUUUGAGAUCUAACCGUGGCCCGUCAUCCGGGUCCGGGACCGUGUCUGAUGGUCAGUUUGACUGGGGCGGUCGCCUCCUAAAUGGUAACGGAGGCAUCCAAUGGUUCCCUCAGCGCGGUCGGUAAUCGCGCGUAGAGCAUAAAGGCAUAAGGGAGCUUGACUGCGAGACAGACAUGUCGAGCAGGUACGAAAGUAGGGCUUAGUGAUCCCGCGGUACAGCGUGGAACGGCCGUUGCUCAAUGGAUAAAAGGUACUCUGGGGAUAACAGGCUGAUCUCCCCCAAGCGUUCAUAGCGACGGGGAGGUUUGGCACCUCGAUGUCGGCUCGUCGCAUCCUGGGGCUGGAGAAGGUCCCAAGGGUUUGGCUGUUCGCCAAUUAAAGCGGCACGCGAGCUGGGUUCAGAACGUCGUGAGACAGUUCGGUCCCUAUCCGGUGUGGGCGCACGAAAUUUGAGGGAACCUGUCCUUAGUACGAGAGGACCGGGACGGACGCACCUCUGGUGUACCGGCUGUCACGCCAGUGGCAUUGCCGGGUAGCUAUGUGCGGAUUGGAGAAACGCUGAAAGCAUCUAAGCGUGAAGCCAUUCCCAAGAUUAGAUUUCGCGGGGGCAACCCCCUAAAGGAUCGUUAGAGACCAUAACGUUGAUAGGUCACAGGUGUAAGCAUAGCGAUAUGUUGAGCCGAGUGAUACUAAUAGUCCGUGAGGCUUU
rnacentral:rRNA from 1 species